AUGUCCCCUCAAAAUUCACAUGUUGAAGUUCUAAGCCCAAUGUGAUAGUAUUUGGAGACGGGCCUUGGAGAGGUAUUUAGGUUUAGAUGAGGUCAUAAGGGUGGUGUCCCCAUGAUGGGAUUAGACAUCACAAAGCUCGCCUUCCUCUCUCUGUCUCUGCCACAUGAGGACAAAGAGAAAGUGGUCACCCUUAAGCCAGGAAGAUAGUUCUCAUCAGAACUCAAUCAUUCCAGCACAAUGAUCUUGGACUUCGCCUACGGAACUAGGAAAAGCCAUUUGAGGACAAAGCCAUCUAUAAACAAGGAAGAGAGCCCUUAUCAGGAACCUAAAUGACCAGCACUUUGAUCUGGGACUUCCAGCCUCCAGAACAGUGAGAAAAUAGACUUUUGUUGUUGAAGCCCC